UAAAAACAUAAUAUAUUUGCUAAUUAAUCCAUGGAAUGCCAUUUCCGAUGAAAAAUAAAAUAAUUUUUACAAUCAUGCAAAAAUAUGGUUUUUUGGCAGCUGGAUUGCCGAGUGGUAACGCGUUGGUUUGCAACUUAGAAAGAUCCAAGUACUCAUCCCUGGUCUGGCAUCUCCUGGAAAAUUUUUUCGGAAUUCCGAGUUCUAGCCGGCGGUCUUCGUCCUUCAUCAUCCGACCUCCCUCCACGGAUGUAGGUACACCCCGAGAUUUUAUCUGGUCCCGCUCCUUAGUAAUCUUUCUGAUUGGAAAGGGCCUAAAAAUUCACAUAAGUUUGC
rnacentral:lncRNA from 1 species